rnacentral:rRNA from 1 species
UGGGGAAUAUUGCACAAUGGGCGCAAGCCUGAUGCAGCCAUGCCGCGUGUAUGAAGAAGGCCUUCGGGUUGUAAAGUACUUUCAGCGGGGAGGAAGGCGAUAAGGUUAAUAACCUUGUCGAUUGACGUUACCCGCAGAAGAAGCACCGGCUAACUCCGUGCCAGCAGCCGCGGUAGUACGGAGGGUGCAAGCGUUAAUCGGCAUUAAUGGGCGUAAAGCGCACGCAGGCGGUCUGUCAAGUCGGAUGUGAAAUCCCCGGGCUCAACCUGGGAACUGCAUUCGAAACUGGCAGGCUAGAGUCUUGUAGAGGGGGGUAGAAUUCCAGGUGUAGCGGUGAAAUGCGUAGAGAUCUGGAGGAAUACCGGUGGCGAAGGCGGCCCCCUGGACAAAGACUGACGCUCAGGUGCGAAAGCGUGGGGAGCAAACA